rnacentral:rRNA from 1 species
UACAGAGGGGGCAAGCGUUAUUCGGAAUUAUUGGGCGUAAAGGGCGCGUAGGCGGAGAGACAAGUCAGAUGUGAAAUGCCGGAGCUCACCUCCGGAAUGGCAUUUGAAACUGUCUCCCUAGAGGAUAGAUGGAGAGAACGGAAUACCACAUGUAGCGGUGAAAUGCGUAGAUAUGUGGUGGAACACCUGUGGCGAAGGCGGUUCUCUAAUUUAGACCUGACGCUGAGGCGCGAAAGCAAGGGGAGCAAACAGG